rnacentral:miRNA from 1 species
AAACCGUUACCAUUACUAUGUU